AACGUAGGACACGAGCGUUAUCCGGAGUUACUGGGCGUAAAGGGCGUGCAGGCGGUUUUGUAAGUUUGAUGUGAAAGCGCCCGGCUUAACCGGGCGAGGACAUUGGAGACUGCAAGACUAGAGGCAGAUAGAGGGGUGUAGAAUUCCGGGUGUAGUGGUGAAAUGCGUAGAGAUCCGGAGGAAUACCAGAGGCGAAGGCGGCACCCUGGGUCUGACCUGACGCUGAGACGCGACAGCAUGGGGAGCGAAC
rnacentral:rRNA from 1 species